CACAUUUCGAAACUUACUUUUGCUGCGGUGCUCUGCUCCAUUCGAACCCUAAACCAUAAACGACGUCCUCGGAGAUCCCGGCAUCGUCACCGCAAUCGGAUAUGUUUCGGUUCUUGUAGUAAAACUGUAGAAGCAUCCAUUGAUAACUGUUUUUUGUGUUUGUAGUUUUUUUUUUUUUUUUUAAUUGUUCCAGUAAAAGAGAUUCCGUUUUUUGAAUUGUUUUUUGGGCAAUCGAAGCGGAAAUGGAAAUCCGUAAUGUUGAACUUCGGUUGAUCGAUUGAAAUGGAUUGAGAUUGAUGAACGAGAUGAUUAACACUGUGGAGCGAUUUUUUGGCAAUCGAGAUCGAAAUGGAAAACCAUAAUGUUGAGCUCGGUUUGAUCGCUGGAAAAAGAUUGAAAUUAAUGGAAGAAAUUCUUUAAAUUUUGAAGUGUGCUUUUGCAAUCGAAAUGGAAUUGGAAAACCUUAUUGUUAUACGUUUUAUGGCUCGCAAAAAGAUUGAAAUUAGGGAAGGAAAUGGAUCUUAAGCCUUUUUUGACCGCUGGAAAGGAAUUGAAAGUAAUGAGGGAGAUGAAUUUUAGGCCUUUUUUUCUUUCUUUUCUUUUCUAGCAUUAUAUUACACUCUGAAUUUUUGGUUGCCAUGAGACAGAAAAAUAAAGUUGUAUUGUAGGAUUAUUUGGCUUAAUUUAGGUUGUGUUUUUGUUUUUCUAAGGAACAGAUAAAAAGAAAAAAAAAUGCAAAAAGAAAAUUUUAUUAUGAUUUUCUUUCAUCAUAUUUACUGUCAACCAAACAGAGGGUUUUCAGUUUGGAAUUUAUCUGCUCCGUGUCUUUUUCUUUUAUCGCAGAUGACGGGAAAUUAGAUUUUUGAUUUAAGGGAAACGAUGCAAAACCUUGGUAAAAUAAAAGAUUCUUACCAGGUAUCAUUUUGUUUUGAUUAACGAGCUAUUGCCAUAUGCUUGUUGCAUACCGAUAUGUGUUUCUGCAUGUAUAAACAAUAUCUGAUUUCGCUAAUGCUAUUGCCAGCUGAAGGCAUUGCAUUGGUUGAAAUUAUUUCAGUCUUUCCUUUAGAUUGAGUUGUAAUUAAGAGCAAUAAGCUCUUGUCUGAGGCCGUUCACAACUGCAGUGCCAUUUGGAAUCCCUGUUUGACUUGACUAGGGUUUGGAAAAGCUGAUGAAUAACAGUCUGAUGCUGGUACAAUAAAAUCACUAAGGCUUCCAGAUGGUAUAUUAAUAGAUGAACGGCAUGAGAACAUAAAAGAUUUUCAGGUGAUUUGAAUUUGUUCAAUAUUUCUUCUUUGAGUUUGGUUUAUAUGUUUAUUUAUUUUUAUUGCAGGUGGGAAGUGAAGUUGAAAAAUGGUAUAACUGAUUUCAAAACUUCCAUUGAUAUUUUAGCGAAUGCUAUGGUUGCAUAUAGAAAUGUUAAACAAUACAACUAGCAUACACCUUGGAGGCUAAAUGAAACAGAGUCUAGUUCAGGUUGACUCAUUUAGUAAACUGGUUAAAUUCCUGUUAAAUUUGGUGUAAACCCAUGCAAGAAGCUGGAAAAACUUCCAUUGGUUUUCUAGGGAGUGCUAUGUGGUAUACAGUUACACUCAAUUUCAUUUUAUUUUACUUAAUUGUUGAUGCAUGUAGAUGGUUUUCCAUUUGCUUAUGUUUGCUGUGAUGUUGGGGUUUAGCAGUUUUGUAAUAUUCUUGAUGUUUUAGUCAAAAAAUAUAUAUUAAUGGAAGAAAUGGGCUUGUGAUGGUUUGGUUGGGGUUUGAUAAAGAGUGAAAUUAGUGCACAUUUAUUCUUAACCAUAAAUAUGAGUAUCAAGAAACUUAAUGGAAUUAAAUGCUGACUUCUAUAGUCGAUCUUCUUGCUGAGGUGAUCUUUUUUCUUCUGGUGGAAAUGAUGUAGCUUGGAUGAUUUUGUGGUGCAAUUGGAAAAUCACCAAAACAUACAUUGAGCAUAAGCAUUCAAACCAUCUAUUUUAGGUAAUAAAAUGAUUGCCAAAGCAGAUGGGUGUUUAAAAGAAAGAAGAAAAAGGAAAUAUGAUAAGACUAGUUCUCUUUUUCAUUUAGUGUUGUAUUUAUUAGGAAUAGCAUUUUUUUGGAGUACUUAAUUUAGUGUAUCAAAAACUUUUUUUUUUUUUUCUUUUUGGUAAAUUUUGAAUUUAUUAAUUAGGUCUCAGGCUAUACUAUUAUGUUUAAUAAUGUUUGAUGUGGGACCAUUGACCAAUAAUAUCAAAACUUUAUCAUCUGGCUGUAAUGGAUCUUUUAUUUGUAGGUUUGGUGUUCAAGGAGAAGCAUCAGGCUCCAUUACUGAUGUUUCAUUAUUAUAAUAGUGACAAAACUCAUGGGACACCAAAUGAAUAUCGCAAGGUAUUGAAGGAAUGGGCAGUUGUGUUUCAGUUUCAGUACUCUAAGCAGUGGCUGGGUACUUUUGCUUUUAUGGUUGAAGUUUAGUUCUGGGCAACUUUUUCAUCAUUCUUUUGAGGACUGCAACAGUUCUUCUCUUGGAAUCGAUGCUGUGGGCAAAGAUGUAGGCACAACAGGCAAGACACUCCUUGUUGAUACCCAUGCAAAGAGGUUCCAUUUUUCUUGGCAAUAUUUUCACUUUUUUCUUAAUUUUCUCUCUCGUUUUUGGUGAAGUGAUUAUAUUUCAUUUUCAAGGCUUUAAACUGACUUGAUGCAGUUGUAUUUUGUAUAACUACUUUGGGAGCCCCAGGAAAGUCUUGCACUGUGUUCUCUCUUUAUGUUCUGAAAAAUGCAGCUUUGCAUGCUUAUCGAUCAGUUUAUACCUGGAAUAUUAUAUAUCA